UACAGAGGUCUCGAGCGUUAGGCGGAAUCACUGGGCUUAAAGCGUGUGUAGGCGGAUCGGUAAGUACCUUGUGAAAUCCCACGGCUCAACCUUUGAAUGCCGAUGGAUACUGUCGAGCUAGAGUCCGGAAGAGGCGAGUGGAAUUCCUGGUGUAGCGGUGGAAUGCGCAGAUAUCAGGAGGAACACCAAUAGCGAAGGCAGCUCGCUGGGACGGUACUGACGCUAAGGCGCGAAAGCGUGGGGAGCGAACAGG
rnacentral:rRNA from 1 species